AACCUACCUAUACGAGAGGGGAACGUAACCCGGCGAAAGUCGGGACUAAUACCGCAUAAAACAGGGGCACCGCAUGGUGAUAUUUGUUAAAGAAAUUCGCUGAUAGAUGGGCAUGCGGUUCCAUUAGGUAGUUGGUGAGGUAACGGCUCACCAAGCCGACGAUGGAUAGGGGAACUGAGAGGUUGGUCCCCCACACUGGUACUGAGACACGGACCAGACUCCUACGGGAGGCAGCAGUGAGGAAUAUUGGUCAAUGGGCGGGAGCCUGAACCAGCCAAGUCGCGUGAAGGAAAGAAGGAUCUAUGGUUCGUAAACUUCUUUUGCAGGGGAAUAAAGUGCAGGACGUGUCCUGUUUUGUAUGUACCCUGAGAAUAAGGAUCGGCUAACUCCGUGCCAGCAGCAGC
rnacentral:rRNA from 1 species